AGGUGAGCGGUGGUGGUCAAGCAAGUAGAACGUUAGAGGAACGUAGACGUUCUAUGCUUGACCAUCAUUGGCCAGUUCC